GCGAGUGGCGAACGGGUGAGUAAUAUAUCGGAAUGUACCCUAGAGUGGGGGAUAACGUAGCGAAAGUUACGCUAAUACCGCAUACGAUCUGAGGAUGAAAGUGGGGGAUUCGCAAGAACCUCAUGCUCAUGGAGCAGCCGAUAUCUGAUUAGCUAGUUGGUAGGGUAAAAGCCUACCAAGGCAACGAUCAGUAGCUGGUUUGAGAGAACGACCAGCCACACUGGAACUGAGACACGGUCCAGACUCCUACGGGAGGCAGCAGUGGGGAAUUUUGGACAAUGGGCGAAAGCCUGAUCCAGCAAUGCCGCGUGAGUGAAGAAGGCCUUCGGGUUGUAAAGCUCUUUUGUCAGGGAAGAAACGGUAGCCUCUAAUACAGGUUACUAAUGACGGUACCUGAAGAAUAAGCACCGGCUAACUACGUGCCAGCAGCCGCGGUAAUACGUAGGGUGCAAGCGUUAAUCGGAAUUACUGGGCGUAAAGCGUGCG
rnacentral:rRNA from 1 species